CGCCGCGAGACGGAAUCUGAAGGAAGUCUAAGGCAAAGUACUGAGCUAAUGAACAAGAAGUGGCUACAAGGCUGGAUACACUUGGAUAAGAUUGCAAGACAAAUCAAAGUCCAAUACUGCUCGAAGGUGUAUCCAGUAAAGCCAACAGCUAAAUGUUGUGAAAGCUG
rnacentral:ncRNA from 1 species